rnacentral:lncRNA from 1 species
CCAGAUUGCUACUAGUUCUUCCAUGCCCCUACUAUGUUGCCGUUGCUUUCCUUUUAUAUCUCAAGUCAUAGUGUGGUUUCAAUCUGACUCUCAUUCACAAUUUGGCGGGUAUAGGCCCAAAUUGAUAUGCAUGCUCCUCCAAGCCCAAUUCUUGAGUAGAGUUCGCUGCUGAUUUUAAUGGUGUUUAUUGGUGGAGAUAAUUAACGUCAAAGCUUCGGGCUGUGAUGA